UACAGAGGUCUCAACCGUUGUUCGGAUUCAUUGGGCGUAAAGGGUGCGUAGGCGGUCGUGCAAGUCGGAUGUGAAAUCUCAGGGCUCAACCCUGAAACUGCAUUCGAUACUGCGCGGCUAGAGUGCUGGAGGGGAGACUGGAAUUUACGGUGUAGCGGUGAAAUGCGUAGAUAUCGUAAGGAAGACCAGUGGCGAAGGCGGGUCUCUGGACAGCUCCUGACACUGAGGCACGAAGGCCAGGGGAGCAAACGGG
rnacentral:rRNA from 1 species